GCAUUGCUGACGAGUCACACAAUAGAACGAAACGGCCGUCCAGUGC
rfam:Schistosoma rodhaini strain Burundi genome assembly, scaffold: SROB_scaffold0005904